AGGGACAGGUCCAUAGCUCACUGGUAAGAGCAUCAGCUUUGCAUGCAGAAGAUCCCAGGUUUAAUCCCCAUUGUCUCUA